GCCGUUUUCAAUAACGUAUCUGAGUUUUCGGAUAGAUAGCUAUCUCCGAAUAUCAGCAAGAGCGUAUCUAUCCUUAGUUUGCGUUUCACAAUCACGGAUAAGUGCUAUCUCUCUUUAACCAACAGUAGAUAGCUUCUUCCCUCCGAUUUAUCCGAGCCUCUUGAUACGUUUCGUUCUACUACAAAUACGAAACAACAUCAGGAUCAAGACUUAUUUUAUUUUAUUCUAAAUUAUAACUAUAAUUUAACCAGCAUAUUGUAGACUAUCAUAAACACAUUUGUUUAUAACAAAAAGUAAUAAAAACAUAUGUAGAUUUUUUUAAAUUGGACGUAUUGCUAUUUUUAUCCUAGUCGAAAUUAUGAAACGAAACGUUUUGACAGUCCGUUUAUCAAUAAGCAGUGAUCAGUUUCUUUUGUUUGUUUUUCUAUUGUUUACCUACUAUAUUUUAUGAUGACUUACCUCCAAAACGCUUUAAAACUUUCGUUUAUAAUUCUAAGUGUGUUUAUAAUUAAAGAGCUACAGUGAAAUAAAAUGAAUUCUUCAAGAAAGGCAGCACCCAUGACAAAAGAUGAGACGAUGAUUCUAGCAGAACUUGUGGCGGCGAAAAAACAUUUCAGUAAUAAGGCAACAAAUGCCACAAACAAUAAAUUGAAGGAGCAGGCUUGGCAAACCCUUGUAAAUGAUUUUAAUUCGUCGAUUCGUCGUUUCCAACUCCAUCGCAGCUUCGACUAAAAUGGGAAAACUUAAAGAACGCUACGGCAACAUAAGAAACAACCUUAGUAAGGCUGGAGGUGGUAAGGAUUGCAGAUGAAAUUUUGGAUAAAGCAUGCACAUUGUUGUAGGUCACAUAUAAUAUUUUUAACACUUUUACAGCCAAGCGGAAACAAGAUGGAAGAAAAGAAAUGCAAGGCUAGCAUAGGGACAAUGCAUUAGCAGAAUAUCUAAUAGCAAAAAAGAGACUUGACUUGGAAAAUAAAUAAAAGGAGAUUGUUGUAGCAAAAGUUAAGUUAGAUUUAGAUAAUUUAAAAAAUUAAAAAUUACUUAAAAGGAAUAUUAAAUUUCAUAAAUUAAGUAGGCAAUAAUAAUUUUAUGUUAGUUUUUUAAGUAUAUGUACAAAUUCUAAAUUAAAUAUCUUGCAUGUACUAACUACCAUGUAAUUAUCAUUUUGGAAAAUAAAAAAUAGUCAAAUUA